AACAUCCCCGGGAAACUGGGGCCGAUCCCCCAUAGACCUGGAUUCCUGGAAUGGUUUCAGGUUUAAAGGGCCUGUGCGCAUCCUGCGCAGGUUCGCCUCAGGAUGGGGCUGCGGCCCAUCAGGUAGUUGGUGGGGUAAAGGCCUACCAAGCCGAUAACGGGUACGGGCUCUGGAAGGAGGAGCCCGGAGAUGGGCACUGAGACAAGGGCCCAGGCCCUACGGGGCGCAGCAGGCGCGAAAACUCCGCAAUGUGGGAAACCACGACGGGGUUACCCCGAGUGUCGCCCGCUGAGGGUGACUUUUCUGGGGUCUAAAAAGCCCCGGGAAUAAGGGGAGGGCAAGUCUGGUGUCAGCCGCCGCGGUAAUACCAGCUCCCCGAGUGGUCGGGACGUUUAUUGGGCCUAAAGCGCCCGUAGCCGGCCCGGUGUGUCUCCCGUUAAAUCCGUCGGCUCAACCGGCGGACCGCGGGGGAUACUAUCGGGCUAGGGGGCGGGAGAGGUCGGGGGUACUCCUGAGGUAGGGGUAAAAUCCUCUGAUCCCGGGAAGACCACCGGUGGCGAAGGCGUCCGGCCAGAACGCGCCCGACGGUGAGGGGCGAAAGCUGGGGGAGCGAACCG
rnacentral:rRNA from 1 species